ensembl:lncRNA
GAUGCUGUUUGUCUCUGUAGGACAGUAGUUCAUGUGGCUGUUUGUCUUUGUAGGACAGUAGUUCAGGUGGCUGUUUGUCUUUGUAGGACAGUAGUUCAGGUGGCUGUUUGUCUUUGUAGGACAGUAGUUCAGGUGGCUGUUUGUGUAGAUGCUGUUUGUCUCUGUAGGACAGUAGUUCAGGUUGGUGUUUGUCUCUGUAGGACAGUAAAUCAGGUUGGUGUUUGUCUCUGUAGGACAGUAGUUCAGGUGGCUGUUUGUGUAGAUGCUGUUUGUCUCUGUAGGACAGUAGUUCAGGUGGCUGCCCUUGCACUUAGUCUGCCUCCUGCCCCCCCAUCGUCAUGGUUACACCUUCCUGAAAACAAUGACUCCAUACUUUGCUGAAACCUGUUC